UACGUAGGGUGCGAGCGUUGUCCGGAAUUAUUGGGCGUAAAGGGUGCGUAGGCGGCGCGGUAAGUCGGGUGUGAAAUCUUGGAGCUUAACUCCGAAACUGCAUUCGAUACUGCCGUGCUUGAGGACUGGAGAGGAGACUGGAAUUUACGGUGUAGCGGUGAAAUGCGUAGAUAUCGUAAGGAAGACCAGUGGCGAAGGCGGGUCUCUGGACAGUUCCUGACGCUGAGGCACGAAGGCCAGGGGAGCAAACGGG
rnacentral:rRNA from 1 species